AAUAAACGCUGGCGGCGUGCCUAACACAUGCAAGUCGAGCGAGAAAGGUCUUCGGACUUAGUACAGCGGCGGACGGGUGAGUAACGCGUGAGAAUCUGCCCUUCAGUGAGGAAUACCUCCGAGAAAUCGGGGUUAAUACUGCAUACGUUCCGAAAGGAAGAAAGAUGGCCUCUUUGCUAUCGCUGAAGGAUGAGCUUGCGUACUAUUAGCUAGUUGGUGAGGUAAAGGCUCACCAAGGCAGAGAUGGUUAGCCGGCCUGAGAGGGUGUACGGCCACAUUGGAACUGAGACACGGUCCAGACACCUACGGGUGGCAG
rnacentral:rRNA from 1 species